UACGUAGGUGGCAAGCGUUAAUCGGAAUUACUGGGCGUAAAGCGUGCGCAGGCGGUUCUCCAAGUCCGUUGUGAGAGCCCCGGGCUCAACCUGGGAAUGGCAGUGGAAACUAGGGGACUGGAAUCUGGCAGAGGGGGGUGGAAUGCCGCGUGUAGCAGUGAAAUGCGUAGAGAUGCGGCGGAACACCGAUGGCGAAGGCAGCCCCCUGGGCUGAGAUUGACGCUCAGGCACGAAAGCGUGGGGAGCAAACAGG
rnacentral:rRNA from 1 species